CUCUACGCUCUGUACACGCUCGGUAGGUAUACCCACAGCAAAUACUAUGUAACUCUGAAUUCAAGUACGCCUAUUUUUGUUUUUUUUUUUCUGUAUACCACUGCUGUCUUUUGCUCGUUCGCUUUUGACUGUCUCGGUCGAGCUCUGCACCCGAGGCUUGGACUCACUCAGCUGUCACAUUGUCGUUAUACGCGUUGUACGUUUCACUGGCUGGUCUUUAUUGGCGUAUUAGUGUCGGUUGCUCUUCGGCCAACAAAAUCCAUAUACUGCAUUGCUCUGCUUGGAGCUUGUUCGGUCGGCUGUUUUGUACAUUGCGCUCAGUCGUUUGCCGGGUUCCUUGUAAAUUUCACGUGCGUGGUCUCGUUUUGCAAUAGUUUGCCGGUGUUUUUGCGUUACCUCGUUUAGUGGUGUUUUAUGUUGUUGGUUUCUCCGUGUGUUUGCCAUCCAUUUGGUUUUUAAGUAUUGUGUGAGUUUGUUGUGGCUUUGCAUUUGCUUUGGCUAGACGACGCUUUACUAAUUUUGAGUUGGUUGGGAGAAACCAAUACAGCGCCAGUGGAUCUACACACCCCGCCUUGGGGUUUUGAAAGUUUUUGAGGGACCGAUAUGAAAAAUGCUCCUCUGGCCCUCAUGUCCUCAUAUGUAAAUACAUAUCGACACCUGAGUGGAAGAUCGACCUACAUAUGUAUCUCGGCAGCCAGUUCGAAAACUCC